AAGAAACAAACGUGCUUAGAAAUGUGGAUGUGAGAGAGAGAGAGGCACGCGUUGCCGGAGAGAGGAGCGGCAAUGGCAUGGAGCCGUGGGUCCGAUCGACGCCCGCGUUUGUGGAGUGCUCAUUCCUUCCUCGGAAAUUGUUGUUACAACAGUUAUUUAUGUAUUUUUGGAAUGGCCACAUAAUAUUAUAUCAACCCCUGGUUCCGAGUUUUGAUAAAAUGUGGAUCAGACCCAACAAAAUGAAAGAUUGAGAGUUGUGAAGAGUGUUUUCGUAGGUUCUUGGAGCAAACGAGACACUGACUUCUGCAGUAAUGUCUUGUCCC